rnacentral:rRNA from 1 species
GGAGUUAGCCGGUGCUUCUUCUGUGAGUGAUGUCCUUCCUGCCGGUUAUUGACCCGCAGGCCUUCUUCCUCACUGAAAGUGCUUUACAACCCGAAGGCCUUCUUCACACACGCGGCAUGGCUGGAUCAGGGUUGCCCCCAUUGUCCAAUAUUCCCCACUGCUGCCUCCCGUAGGAGUCUGGGCCGUGUCUCAGUCCCAGUGUGGCUGAUCAUCCUCUCAGACCAGCUACGGAUCGUCGCCUUGGUGAGCCGUUACCUCACCAACCAGCUAAUCCGACAUAGGCUCAUCCGAUAGCGCGAGGCCCGAAGGUCCCCCGCUUUCCCCCGUAGGGCGUAUGCGGUAUUAGCCUGGGUUUCCCCAGGUUAUCCCCCGACUACCGGGCAGAUUCCUAUGCAUUACUCACCCGUCCGCCGCUCGCCACCAGGGAGCAAGCUCCCCGUGCUGCCGCUCGACUUGCAUGUGUUAGGCCUGCCGCCAGCGUUCAAUCUGAGCCAGAAUCAAACUCUGA